AACGAACGCUGGCGGCAUGCCUAACACAUGCAAGUCGAACGAGAUCUUCGGGUCUAGUGGCGCACGGGUGCGUAACGCGUGGGAAUCUGCCCUUUGGUUCGGAAUAACAGUUGGAAACGACUGCUAAUACCGGAUGAUGACGAAAGUCCAAAGAUUUAUCGCCAGAGGAUGAGCCCGCGUAGGAUUAGCUAGUUGGUGCGGUAAAGGCGCACCAAGGCGACGAUCCUUAGCUGGUCUGAGAGGAUGAUCAGCCACACUGGGACUGAGACACGGCCCAGACUCCUACGGGAGGCAGCAGUGGGGAAUAUUGGACAAUGGGCGAAAGCCUGAUCCAGCAAUGCCGCGUGAGUGAUGAAGGCCUUAGGGUUGUACAGCUCUUUUACCCGGGAUGAUAAUGACAGUACCGGGAGAAUAAGCUCCGGCUAACUCCGUGCCAGCCGCCGCAGUAA
rnacentral:rRNA from 1 species